rnacentral:tRNA from 1 species
GCCCUCGUAGCUCAGUCGGUAGAGCACGUCCUUGGUAAGGACGAGGUCACCGGAUCAUACCCGGUCGUGGGCACCA